rfam:Actinoplanes friuliensis DSM 7358, complete genome.
CUCACCGGUCGCAAGAGUGGGAGUCCACGUGCGGCGACGCCGCGGAGGAAGCCGGUGCGAGUCCGGCGCGGUCCCGCCACUGUCACAGGGUCCUGAUAGACCUUGCAGCCAGGAACUCCGGUCGCCGUGAAUUCCU